rnacentral:rRNA from 1 species
UACGUAGGGUGCAAGCGUUAUUCGGAAUUACUGGGCGUAAAGCGUGCGCAGGCGGUGAUGUAAGCCAGUUGUGAAAUCCCCGGGCUCAACCUGGGAACUGCAUCUGUGACUGCAUCGCUGGAGUGCGGCAGAGGGGGAUGGAAUUCCGCGUGUAGCAGUGAAAUGCGUAGAUAUGCGGAGGAACACCGAUGGCGAAGGCAAUCCCCUGGGCCUGCACUGACGCUCAUGCACGAAAGCGUGGGGAGCAAACAGG